CUACGGGAUGCACCAGUGGGGAAUAUUGGGCAAUGGGCGAAAGCCUGACCCAGCAACGCCGCGUGAAGGAAGAAGGUUUUCGGAUCGUAAACUUCUAUCCCGGGUGAAGAUAAUGACGGUAGCCCGGAAGGAAGCCCCGGCUAACUACGUGCCAGCAGCCGCGGUAAUACGUAGGGGGCAAGCGUUGUCCGGAAUGAUUGGGCGUAAAGGGCGCGUAGGCGGCCUUCUAAGUCCGAUGUGAAAGUCCUGCUUUUAAGGUGGGAAUUGCAUUGGAAACUGGAGGGCUUGAGUGCAGGAGAGGUAAGUGGAAUUCCCGGUGUAGCGGUGAAAUGCGUAGAGAUCGGGAGGAACACCAGUGGCGAAGGCGACUUACUGGACUGUAACUGACGCUGAGGCGCGAAAGUGUGGGGAGCAAACAGGAUUAGAUACCCCAGUAGUC
rnacentral:rRNA from 1 species